UACAGAGGUGGCAAGCGUUGUUCGGAAUUACUGGGCGUAAAGGGCGAGUAGGUGGCCAUCUAAGUCAGACGUGAAAUCCCCCGGCUUAACCUGGGAACUGCGUCUGAUACUGGACGGCUUGAGUAUGGGAGAGGGAUGUAGAAUUCCAGGUGUAGCGGUGAAAUGCGUAGAUAUCGGGAGGAACACCAGUGGCGAAGGCGACUUCCUGGCCUGUUCUUGACGCUGAGGCGCGAAAGCUAGGGGAGCAAACGGGG
rnacentral:rRNA from 1 species